rnacentral:rRNA from 1 species
AACGAACGCUGGCGGCAGGCUUAACACAUGCAAGUCGAACGCAUCCUUCGGGGUGAGUGGCAGACGGGUGAGUAACGCGUGGGAACGUGCCCUUCAGUUCGGGAUAACCCAGGGAAACUUGGGCUAAUACCGGAUACGUGCGAGAGCAGAAAGAUUUAUCGCUGAAGGAUCGGCCCGCGUCUGAUUAGCUAGUUGGUGGGGUAGUGGCCCACCAAGGCGACGAUCAGUAGCUGGUCUGAGAGGAUGAUCAGCCACAUUGGGACUGAGACACGGCCCAAACUCCUACGGGAGGCAGCAGUGGGGAAUAUUGGACAAUGGGCGCAAGCCUGAUCCAGCCAUGCCGCGUGAGUGAUGAAGGCCUCAGGGUUGUAAAGCUCUUUCGUCCGGGACGAUAAUGACGGUACCGGAAGAAGAAGCCCCGGCUAACUUCGUGCCAGCAGCCGCGGUAA